rnacentral:lncRNA from 1 species
UACUACAAAUAAUAUUGAUUAGUUUUAUCACUAUUAAUUUUACUUUAUAUCACAUCCCCAGUCCUUUUUAUUUUCAGAUAGGGUUUCUCUAAAUUUCUGACGAUGGCCUCCAACUUGUGCUCCUCCUCCCUCAGCCUUCUAAGUAGCUGUGAUUACCAGCAUGUGCCACCACACCUGGCUUGAAUGGGAAUUGGGAAGAUAAAAUUGCUUUACUUAAUCAGCAUAGUUUCUAUUUAGUCCAUAAAUAAAUUAGUCCAAAAUAAAUCAGUCUAUAAACAGAAAGACCAUCAGUGCUCAUUUUAGCUCUUGAAAGUUUUGGCGUUUAUGAAAUUAUAUGAAGUAAACUUUUUUAAAAGUCAUUUACCGGUAAAAGUCAAUAAUAGGUAUUGUGUUAUAUGCAAAGCACAAAAAUAGGAAAAAUUCUUAUCCCCAAGUGCUAGUUUGGUGUGUUCAGGAUAAAAGAAGACUAUGAAUACUUUUAAUUUAGAAGAAAGCUGAGUGUGAUCAUAUGUGGCAGAUUGUCAUUUAAUACAAAUAAGUUUUUUAAAAUACAGGUGUGUCUCUAAGCUAGUUUUGAAACAUUGGCAUUAAUUAGAAGACAAAUUGAAAUUGAGUUAGCUCAAACUUAACUCUGUCCUUACUGAAAGAAAUCUACUUUUCUCCUCUAACAGUAACGGUGCUUAAAGAUUUGCCAUGAAUUUUUAAGAAACAGGUAGCUUGUAGAAGUUCUUUGUUUAGGAUUCUUAUUAUUACAAAAAAAAAACCUAGUUUUUCAUAAUUUUCUGAAGCAGAAAGUCUAGUUUGAAAAAUUCAGCAAUUCUAACAAGUCUAACAAAAUUUCAUUGUGUUUAUAG